rnacentral:rRNA from 1 species
GACGAACGCUGGCGGCGUGCUUAACACAUGCAAGUCGAACGGAAAGUGCCCAGCUUGCUGGGUGACUCGAGUGGCGAACGGGUGAGUAACACGUGGGUGAUCUGCCCUGCACUUUGGGAUAAGCCUGGGAAACUGGGUCUAAUACCGAAUAUUCCUUGCUGGUCGCAUGGCCUGGUGGGGGAAAGCUUUUGCGGUGUGGGAUGGGCCCGCGGCCUAUCAGCUUGUUGGUGGGGUGAUGGCCUACCAAGGCGACGACGGGUAGCCGGCCUGAGAGGGUGUCCGGCCACACUGGGACUGAGAUACGGCCCAGACUCCUACGGGAGGCAGCAGUGGGGAAUAUUGCACAAUGGGCGCAAGCCUGAUGCAGCGACGCCGCGUGAGGGAUGACGGCCUUCGGGUUGUAAACCUCUUUCAAUAGGGACGAAGCGCAAGUGACGGUACCUAGAGAAGAAGCACCGGCCAACUACGUGCCAGCAGCCGCGGUAAAAC